UACGUAGGGACCAAGCGUUGUCCGGAUUUAUUGGGCGUAAAGAGCUCGUAGGCGGCCCUCCACGUCGGAUGUGAAAGCUCAGGGCUCAACCCUGAGAUGCCAUUCGAUACGGGAAGGCUAGAGGUAGGUAGGGGAAAGUGGAAUUCCUGGUGUAGCGGUGAAAUGCGCAGAUAUCAGGAGGAACACCGGUGGCGAAGGCGGUUCUCUGGGCAUGUCCUGACGCUGAGGAGCGAAAGUGUGGGGAGCGAACAGG
rnacentral:rRNA from 1 species